rnacentral:misc_RNA from 1 species
UAUAAUCAAAUUUCAUUUUUGCAAUUGUGUAGAUUCAUGGUUUGUUGCAUCUUUAGGGAUUAGAUCAUCAGAUAGUGAAGAGGCUGAAGCUAAAAUGGAGGAACUGUAGAGAGCCUUGGUGCUGGAGAAAUUGCAGAAGACUAAUAGGAAAAGAUACUUCUUUUGUCAUCCAAAGCUGCACAAACUUUUUCCAGAUGGACAUGUUUGAUUCUUUAAUGUUUCUUGGGCACCAAAAUUUGAUUUAGGUGAGACGUUAGAGAUCAAAACAUAUAAUGUCUUCAAUCUACUGAGACUGUUUAGAA